rnacentral:rRNA from 1 species
AUAUGUGAUCGUCUCUCGCAUAUCAAUAAGCGGAGGAAAAGAAACUAACAAGGAUUCCCCUAGUAACGGCGAGUGAAGCGGGAAGAGCUCAAAUUUGAAAUCUUAAAGGGUUUCCCUUUACGAAUUGUAGUUUAAAGAAGUGUUUUCUGUUGAGGUUUUGGUAAAAGUUCUUUGGAAUAGGACAUCAUAGAGGGUGAGAAUCCCGUAUUUGACCUUUACUUUCAACUUUGUGAUACACUUUCAAAGAGUCGGAUUGUCUGGGAAUGCAGUCCAAAAUGGGUGGUAAAUUUCAUCUAAAGCUAAAUAUUGGCGAGAGACCGAUAGCGAACAAGUACCGUGAGGGAAAGAUGAAAAGAACUUUGAAAAGAGAGUUAAACAGUACGUGAAAUUGUCAAAAGGGAAGCGUUUGACACCAGUGUUGUUUUUCUGAAAAUCAAUUAAAGAACUGUUUAUGCUAAGCUGUUUAGACUUUAUCAGCUAUCUGUUUAGUUUUGAGCUUUUCUUUAAUGCACUUUUCAGUUAACAAGUCAACAUCAAUUUCUUUUGCUGUAAAAAAGCUUGAGGAAGGUGGCUUGAGAUUCGUCUUAAGUGUUUAUAGCCUCUUGCCUAUGCAGUCGGAGAGACUGAGGUCUGCAGCGUAGAUCCUUCGGGGCUAAAUGCAUUUGUGCUAAGUUAUAGCAUUUUAUAGACAACUUGUUGACUAUGAUUUGUCUUGUAGCUUACUCGCUUAUGUUAUUUUACCUACGCUUAGGAUGUUGAGCGCAUGUCUCUCUCU